rnacentral:rRNA from 1 species
CGCCUCCUAAAAGGUAACGGAGGCGCUCAAAGGUUCCCUCAGAAUGGUUGGAAAUCAUUCAUAGAGUGUAAAGGCAUAAGGGAGCUUGACUGCGAGACCUACAAGUCGAGCAGGGUCGAAAGACGGACUUAGUGAUCCGGUGGUUCCGCAUGGAAGGGCCAUCGCUCAACGGAUAAAAGCUACCCCGGGGAUAACAGGCUUAUCUCCCCCAAGAGUUCACAUCGACGGGGAGGUUUGGCACCUCGAUGUCGGCUCAUCGCAUCCUGGGGCUGUAGUCGGUCCCAAGGGUUGGGCUGUUCGCCCAUUAAAGCGGUACGCGAGCUGGGUUCAGAACGUCGUGAGACAGUUCGGUCCCUAUCCGUCGUGGGCGUAGGAAAUUUGAGAGGAGCUGUCCUUAGUACGAGAGGACCGGGAUGGACAUACCUCUGGUGUACCAGUUGUCGUGCCAACGGCAUAGCUGGGUAGCUAUGUAUGGACGGGAUAAGUGCUGAAAGCAUCUAAGCAUGAAGCCCCCCUCAAGAUGAGAUUUCCCAACUUCGG